rnacentral:misc_RNA from 1 species
GAAAUGCGAUAAGUAGUGUGAAUUGCAGAAUUCAGUGAAUCAUCGAAUCUUUGAACGCACAUUGCGCCCCUUGGUAUUCCAUGGGGCAUGCCUGUUCGAGCGUCAUUUAUACCCUCAAGCUCUGCUUGGUGUUGGGUGUUUGUCCCGUCUCCGCGCGUGGACUCGCCCCAAAGUGAUUGGCAGCCGGCGUACUGGUCCCGGAGCGCAGCACAUGUCGCGCAAACGAGUGCCUUGGUACGGCGGCGUCCAUAAGCCCCUCUCUCACGCUCUUGACCUCGGAUCAGGUAGGGAUACCCGCUGAACUUAAGC